AUCCUCCAGUACUCUGCCAGCCACUGCUACCACUGUUUCAUCCCUGUGUAGACACCCUCCUCUCCCUGCCCCAAUAUCCACAAUUGUGCCUUGGUUCUCCCUCUGUUUGAAUGCCCUCCCACCUUACUGGGCUCUGACACAACAUGCUGGGGUGCCUACCAAUAGUGAUGCCUUCCUCAUCCUCAUCCUACUUGGAUUCCAGCAUGUGCUGGUCUGCUCCUACUCUGGAUUUUCUGCUUACCAGACUCAGCUCUAACACCCUGCUUCAGGCCACCACAGCUCAACCUACCUCCUUUCUACUUGACACCUUGACACAUAUUUGCAUAUGGUACUAACAAUGGCAAAGAAGAUAGAUUACUUACUUAAUGAUAUUCAGAGUGAAUUAUUUAGGAAGAGAAUAGGAUGGAAAAGGGGAUAAGAUAUAAAUACUAAAUUAAGUAGAAAUAGGACUUUAUGAUCCUUUCAAGAGACUUUUCCCAAGUGAGUUAUAUUUUCCAAGUUCUAUGUAAAAGAUAUUCAGGAGUAAUAUGGGAGAGAAGGCUAAAUAUAUUGGCUAUUGCACUCCAAAGCAGAAAAUCCUAUGAAAUAUUUAAGUCUGGGAGCACUGAACACCAACAGCUAACUUUCCAGGAAUCAGAAACAGAUUCUUUAGAGGAUUACUUCCUGUG
rnacentral:lncRNA from 1 species